rnacentral:rRNA from 1 species
UGAUAAGUACUGNGAAUUNCAGAAUUCAGUGAGUCAUCGCAUCUUUGAACGCAUAUUGCG